GGCGACGGUGGCUCAGUGGUAAGAGUAGAUGACUUGCAAUCUGAAAAUUGUUGGUUUGAUUCCAGCUUCCUCCU